rnacentral:rRNA from 1 species
AAUUAUUGGGCGUAAGCGCGCGCAGGUGGUUUCUUAAGUCUGAUGUGAAAGCCCACGGCUCUACCGUGGAGGGUCAUUGGAAACUGGGAGACUUGAGUGCAGAAGAGGAAAGUGGAAUUCCAUGUGUAGCGGUGAAAUGCGUAGAGAUAUGGAGGAACACCAGUGGCGAAGGCGACUUUCUGGUCUGUAACUGACACUGAGGCGCGAAAGCGUGGGGAGCAACCAGGAUUAGAUACCCUGGUAGUCCACGCCGUAAACGAUGAGUGCUAAGUGUUAAAGGCUUUCCCCC